CACAUGCGGAAGGUUUCCAGACUAUAGUGCUAUUGGGAGGUUUAGAACCUUUAAGAAAUGGGCCCAUUGCCGGGCGGUGGUGGCGCACGCCUUUAAUCCCAGCACUCGGGAGGCAGAGGCAGGCGGAUCUCUGUGAGUUCGUGGCCAACCUGGUCUACAAAGCCAGUUCCAGGACAGGCUCCAAAGCUACACAGAGAAACCCUGUCCCUGGCUUCUACCUACUUUUCAACGAGGAGGGAGAGGAGGGGUGAGGAAGAGGAGGAGGAAGAAGAGGAAAAAGAAGAAACCAUUGUAAAAUAGGAGAAAUACACAUGAGACUCACCAACCGCCAUGUUCUGGAGUUGGAGAAGUGAACAGAAUGACAUGAAGAUGCAGCCCCUCAAUGAAGCAGGAGAAAUACAGUCAUUCAUCUGUCCUACCCCAUUCAUGGCUCAGGAACCCUUGCAGAAGAGGGGGGCAGAAGGAAUGCAGGAGCUGAGACUGUCCUCCAAGUCAAGAAACCACCAUUUGGGGGAUGUACCCCUUUCAAAGAUCACCCCACCUGGGCUUGUUGACUGUUAACACUCUCUCAUGGAGGGGUGGGGAGGGUUGCAAGACCCUCAUCUGAGUAUCCAGCCGUGCCCUAUCACCUGUUGUACGUCACUCUGUCUCAAUUGUACAUGGCUUGGGUGGGGGGCAGGUGAUGACCACGGACCAGGGGAGGGGGAGUUCCAUCUAUGUGGCUGUGGGGAAGUUCUCGUCCUGCUGGGUAAAGGCUUUCCAGAUGUGGCCUUGUAAGGGAGAACCACUCACACCUGGUAGGUAACCCCUCACCUAUGUUCUGUAAGGAAGCCCAAUAACCCCAUUGGUUCCCCAGUGUGAACCUUGGGUGGAUCCUGCUUGUCUUGGACCUUGGGAGGAGGUGGAGGUGGCUUGCAGCCCCUGGGGAGGAACUUGAACAACAGCUCCUGGUUUGGAGGUUCCCACACAUACUCUGCUGGGCCCAUUGCUCUCAGGUCUCUGGUGAGGGGCUGGAUGUUAAUGGCAGGUAGCUAGCUUGUGGUGAAACUGCUCAUCUCAUGGCCAAAGAGCAAACGAGCAAGAAGAGACAAGAAUUCUAUUAACCCCUCAACAACGUAAGACCCCAGGACACAAAAUUGCCCCCUAAGCCCCACCCUUAAAGAUGUCAUCACCUCUCAGUAGUACUACCCUGUGGUUAAAGCUUUUAACAGUUGAGUCUUUGGGGACCUUUCUGUAUCCAGAUUCUAGGAAGCUCCCUGUUCUCAGAAACACCUGUGUGCUACUGUGAGCAGCAUUCUGGUUACAACUAAGGCUCCUGGCUCCAAUCUUACAGACAGUGGCAACAGCACAGGCUUUCCUGGAGGGUAACUACCCUUGGCACAUGGCCUCACAAAAGCCCAUGCUUUGUGUCCCUCAUGGGGGCUGCUGUCAAAGACUCAGGUGCCCACACAGCUGCUGUGUCUUUUGCAUGAGAGCAUCCAGUUCCUUUGCUGGGGCCUUCUUGUUAAGGAGGAGGUGAAAAAUCCUACACGUUCCCAACUCUGACUCAGAACUCACAGUGUUGCCAAUCUGAGUGCCCUACCUCCAGCUCAUGGUAUGUAAAAUGCUUGUGAUGAGUAUCUUUGUCAACUGGACACAACUUAGAAUUAUCUGGAAAGAGGGUCUCAAUGAGGGAUUGUCUACAGUGGGUUGGCCUAUGGUUGUGUCUUAAUUGAGGCGGGAAGACCCAAGUCACUGUAGGUAGCACCAUUCCCUAGGCAGGGAGUUUCUAACUGUAAGAGUGUAGAAAUCAAGCCAAUCAUAAGAAAGCAAGCAAACAAGCACUCAUACAUUCUCUAUGUCCUCAUAGAUAUAUAUGUGGACAUAGUGUGAUACGAGAACUAUCUCAAGCUUCUGUUGCCAUGACUUCCAUGCAAUGAUGUGCUCUAAACUGGAAUUUCACUAAUAAACCCUUUCUGUUGUGAGCCACAGAAAUAUGAAGUAGGAAUUUGGCUGACUAUGACAAAGCUAUUACCUGGAAGAAUCGAGGAUUUUUUCCAGAGGAAGCCAAGGCUCAAGGAGUAUUGGUGUUAUUUGGCUUUUGUAUAUAUCAGCUAUUUCCUGCAAUGAAUUUCAUGUGUGCUAUUAUAGCUUCCCCAAUUGA